UACGUAGGGUGCAAGCAUUGUCCGGAUUUAUUUGGCGUAAAGAGCUCGUAGGCGGCUUGUCACGUCGGAUGUGAAAACUCGGGGCUCAACCCCGAGCCUGCAUUCGAUACGGGCUAGCUAGAGUGUUGCAGGGGAGACUGGAAUUCCUGGUGUAGCGGUGAAAUGCGCAGAUAUCAGGAGGAACACCGGUGGCGAAGGCGGGUCUCUGGGCAACUACUGACGCUGAGGAGCGAAAGCGUGGGGAGCGAACAGGAUUAGAUACCCUGGUAGUCCACGCCGUAAACGUUGGGCGCUAGGUGUGGGGAACCUUCCACGUUCUCCGUGCCGUAGCUAACGCAUUAAGCGCCCCGCCUGGGGAGUACGGCCGCAAGGCUAAA
rnacentral:rRNA from 1 species